UUUGUACUCCCUUCAUCCCGAAAUUCUUGUCUUAGAUUUGUCUAGAUACAGAUGUAUCAAGUCACAGAUACAUCCAUAUCUAGACAAAUCUAAGACAAGAAUUUUGGGACGGAAGGAGUAUAUA
rfam:Triticum aestivum genome assembly, contig: Triticum_aestivum_CS42_TGACv1_scaffold_327925_4BS